UAGGUGAACCUGCGGAAGGAUCAUUACAGUAUUCUUUUCCGUAGGUGAACCUGCGGAAGGAUCAUUACAGUACACACAGUGUUUUUUGUUAUUACAAGAACUUUUGCUGAACUAAACUUCAAUAUUUAUAUUGAAUUGUUGUUUACUGAACUAAACUUCAAUAUUUAUAUUGAAUUGUUAUUUAUUUAAUUGUCAAUUUGUUGAUUAAAUUCAAAAAAUCUUCAAAACUUUCAACAACGGAUCUCUUGGUUCUCGCAUCGAUGAAGAACGCAGCGAAAUGCGAUAAGUAAUAUGAAUUGCAGAUUUUCGUGAAUCAUCGAAUCUUUGAACGCACAUUGCGCCCUCUGGUAUUCCAGAGGGCAUGCCUGUUUGAGCGUCAUUUCUCUCUCAAACCUUCGGGUUUGGUAUUGAGUGAUACUCUUAGUCGAACUAGGCGUUUGCUUGAAAUGUAUUGGCAUGAGUGGUACUGGAUAGUGCUAUAUGACUUUCAAUGUAUUAGGUUUAUCCAACUCGUUGAAUAGUUUAAUGGUAUAUUUCUCGGUAUUCUAGGCUCGGCCUUACAAUAUAACAAACAAGUUGACCUCAAAUAC
rnacentral:rRNA from 1 species